CUCGUCUCUGCAAUCUGAGACCUCGAAAGACCUAAAAUCCUUCAACAGGUUUUGAGAAAAGAAAAGAAAAAGAGGCACGCGAGGCGUUUUUUGAGAGGCGCGAGUGUCUUUCAAAAUAGGCUAUUUGGUGGGUUAGAACCCACAGAAAUUGGAUACACGCGCUAAACGCAAGAUGGGUGAGAGUGGGUAUGAAACCGCAAGAUCGGUGAGAAUGGGUAUGACAUGGAGCGCUCUGAUUGGCUAAAAAACUCAAAAUAGUAGACAUAAACAGGUAACAUCUAGCGGUAUACAUAAGCACUUAGAAGGUGUUAAAGUGAUCCACAGGAUUGCACACAAGUGGUCGAGCCAUCUCAGCAGAAAAACCAGAACCUUGGCUCAGAUCGACCUUCUGUCCAUCAACACUCUUCCAGUCGAAGCGCUGCACCAAUGAACCCACACCUAUAUGCAUCACAUUCAUGGCAAGGGAUGCUCCUGGACAUCCUCUCCUUCCACUCCCAAAUGGAAGGCACCCGUUCACCUGGCAGUCUUCUGCGCAUUCUCUUAUGAUCAGAGGAGCUGAAGGGUGGAGCCUCAGAGUUUCCCUUAGGACAGCUCGGAGGUAAGGAAGGUGGGAGGAAACAUACCAGCAGGAAAGAUUUCAUGUCAUUCCUCGUUAUCUUCAUUUCAGCAGUGGGAUCUCUGUCAUAUUUCUCCAUUACAGCCACUAACUUCUUCCCGUUCCCAGAAAAGUCCAUUACUUUCAAUGGCCCCAACACAUCUCCUACACUGAUCUUCCCCGCAAGCUCCAAACUUUUCUUCACCAGCUCCCUUAUCUCUUCUGCUUCAUUAUCAGUACCUGAACACCUGGUGCUCAUCGCCAUCCUGCAGAUUACAUUGUUGGUGUAUUUUAUGAACUGGCUACUCAAGUCACAAGGCAACCCUUCUCUGCAACACUUAGCCACAGAAUCGACCAGCUUCAGUUUCUCCUCCUCACGGAUGUCAGCGAAUUUCUCCAGCUGUGGAACAGCAAGAAGCUUAGUCAUGCACAGCUUCUUCAUGAACCUCCAGUAAUCUCCAUACUGCGCAAGGACAAACCUGGACCCUCUAUACUUGAAAUACUCUGCAGAACCAAACUCAGGUCUCGAGGAGAAAUUAAGCUCUUGCUCCUUGAAAAUCUCUCUCGCCACCGAAGAGCUUGAGACCACAACGCACUUAGAAGCACCGAGACGUAUCUCCAUGAGUGGGCCAUACUUGUGAGCUAAACUUUGGAAUGAGACAGGCAAUACUUUGCCUAUCAAAUGAAGGUGGCCAAUGAAUGGUAAAGCUGGAGGGCUCUGUGGCAGCUUCGUAGCAGCCAAUGAACCUUGCUCUUUCAAGAACCAUUUGAAGAGAGCAUAAAGCAUGAAAGGAAAAGCUAAGGAUGUGAUGAGAAUAAUUAGUUUAGUGUUUAGUUUUAAAUCCAUUGCAGGCAGGUAUUGAUACAAUUUUUGAAGUAUGCUUGUAUUUAUAUCCAGACACAGACGAAUCUUGUUUAUUAGAUGCUCAUUGUAAAGAAAACAAAACAACAGAUGUGACCUUU
rnacentral:lncRNA from 1 species